CCUACGGGUGGCAGCAGUGGGGAAUAUUGGGCAAUGGGCGCAAGCCUGACCCAGCAAUGCCGCGUGAAGGAAGAAGGCUUUCGGGUUGUAAACUUCUUUUCUCAGGGACGAAGCAAGUGCCGGUACCUGAGGAAUAAACCACGGCUAACUACGUGCCAGCAGCCGCGGUAAUACGUAGGUGGCAAGCGUUAUCCGGAUUUGCUGGUUGUAAAGGGCGUGUAGGCGGGGACGCAAGUCAGAUGUGAAAACCACGGGCUCAACAUGUGGCCGGCAUUUGAAACUGUGUUUCUUGAGUACUGGAGAGGCAGACGGAAUGAGUAGUGUAGCGGUGAAAUGCGUAGAUAUUAGGAGGAACACCAGUGGCGAAGGCGGUCUGCUGGACAGCAACUGACGCUGAGGCGCGAAAGCGUGGGGAGCAAACAGGAUUAGAUACCCGAGUAGUC
rnacentral:rRNA from 1 species